rnacentral:rRNA from 1 species
GUACGGCGAGUGAAGCGGCAAAAGCUCAAAUUUGAAAUCUGGUACCUUCGGUGCCCGAGUUGUAAUUUGGAGAGGGCAACUUUGGGGCCGUUCCUUGUCUAUGUUCCUUGGAACAGGACGUCAUAGAGGGUGAGAAUCCCGUGUGGCGAGGAGUGCGGUUCUUUGUAAAGUGCCUUCGAAGAGUCGAGUUGUUUGGGAAUGCAGCUCUAAGUGGGUGGUAAAUUCCAUCUAAAGCUAAAUAUUGGCGAGAGACCGAUAGCGAACAAGUACAGUGAUGGAAAGAUGAAAAGAACUUUGAAAAGAGAGUGAAAAAGUACGUGAAAUUGUUGAAAGGGAAGGGCAUUUGAUCAGACAUGGUGUUUUGUGCCCUCUGCUCCUUGUGGGUAGGGGAAUCUCGCAUUUCACUGGGCCAGCAUCAGUUUUGGUGGCAGGAUAAAUCCAUAGGAAUGUAGCUUGCCUCGGUAAGUAUUAUAGCCUGUGGGAAUACUGCCAGCUGGGACUGAGGACUGCGACGUAAGUCAAGGAUGCUGGCAUAAUGGUUAUAUGCCGCCCGUCUU